AUGCAACAGCCCUUGAACUCACCCGAUAUGAAUUGCCUAGACAUUGGCCUAUUUUCUUCACUACAGUCCAUGUUGGAUACGCUGGUGUCUAACAAUUUAGAUGAGCUAAUCAACAAUGUGCAGCAUGAAUAUGAUGCCUAUGAUGCUAAUAAGAUAAACAUAAUUUUGCUAACACUACAAGGCUGCUUAAUUGAGGUCAUGAAGAGAGGUGGAGGCAACGACUACAAGAUCCCUCACAUGUACAAGGAUGGCCUAGAACGGGCAGGAAAUCUUCCUAAUGUUUUAGACUGUGAUCGUAAACUAUAUGAUUGCGUCAUGCAGGCCUUAGCCAACUAG
rnacentral:rRNA from 1 species